CAUGAAGGACCAAGAGUCCAAAACAUGAAGAUAUUCAGUUUACUAAUACAAGGGACUGUUCUUCACUCAGGCGGCACGGUGGUGUGGUGGUUAGCACUGCGCCUCACAGCAAGAGGGUUGCUGGUUCAAUCCCCUCUGUGCAGAGUUUGCAUGUUCUCCCUGUGUCAGCGUGGGUUUCCUCCAGGUGCUCCAACAUGUUCUCCCUGUGUCAGCGUGGGUUUCCUCCAGGUGCUCCAACAUGUUCUCCCUGUGUCAGCGUGGGUUUCCUCCAGGUGCUCCAACAUGUUCUCCCUGUGUCAGUGUGGGUUUCCUCCAGGUGCUCCCACAUGUUCUCCCUGUGUCAGCGUGGGUUUCCUCCAGGUGCUCCCACAUGUUCUCCCUGUGUCAGCGUGGGUUUCCUCCAGGUGCUCUGACAUGUUCUCCCUGUGUCAGUGUGGGUUUCCUCCAGGUGCUCUGACAUGUUCUCCCUGUCAGCGUGGGUUUCCUCCAGAUGCUCUGACAUGUUCUCCCUGUGUCAGCGUGGGUUUCCUCCAGGUGCUCUGACAUGUUCUCCCUGUGUCAGCGUGGGUUUCCUCCAGGUGCUCCCACAUGUUCUCCCUGUGUCAGUGUGGGUUUCCUCCAGGUGCUCUGACAUGUUCUCCCUGUGUCAGUGUGGGUUUCCUCCAGAUGCUCUGACAUGUUCUCCCUGUGUCAGCGUGGGUUUCCUCCAGGUGCUCUGACAUGUUCUCCCUGUGUCAGCGUGGGUUUCCUCCAGGUGCUCCGACAUGUUCUCCCUGUGUCAGCGUGGGUUUCCUCCAGGUGCUCCAGCUUCCUCCCACAGUCCAAAGACAUGCAGGUUAACUGGUGACUCUAAAUUGUCCGUAGGCGUGAAUGAGCACGGUUACAUGCCCACAAUAAUCAGAUAACUGGGAAUAAUCAGGUAAUGGUAAUAAUCCGAUUUGAUGUGUUUACGUGCACUUCAAUAAUCUGAUAAUCAGAAAAACCUGGUUUACAUGAUUCAGUUCUCCCCAAGUACAUGACAUAAAACUCAAACUUCCUGUUACAGCAGGUACUCAUAUCCUUGAAAAUAAUACCAAGUCAUAUAUUUGCAGAAUAAAGCACUCAUCAUGCUGACAGCUUAUAUGCUUACAGUACUGUUUGUUUUUAUCAUUAACAAAUACAUGUGAGAGCAUUCUAAUGUGUAGUUUAUCAAUGUGGAGCCAGUUUUACACACUUUGGGUAGAUUCGGAGUAAAAGUACUGCAAAGUGCAAUAUACAAGUGUAUUGUAUGUAAACCUGUCACACACAGUGCAUAACAUAUAAGUAAGAUAAAAUAAAAGUGACAAUUUAAACACUGAGAAUAUAAAAAUAUAUUAUUUUAUGUAAGAUCUUUAUCUGAAAGGAAACAAAAGCUGUCAGAUUAACGUAGUGGAGUAGAAAGUACAAUAUUUCCCUCUAAACUGUAGUGGAGUGGGAGUGUAAAAUAGCAAAACCCGAAAGAAACCAGAUUAAAGGGUAAACAUGCACCGAAUAAUCUGACUACUGGGGAAAAAGCUCGAUGUGUUUAUCUGAUUUCUCAUAAUCAGAUAAUGGCUUUUAUCUGAUAAAGCACAUCGGAUCAUGCUGUUUACAUGACCACUUGAAUAAUCAGGUAACUCCAGAAAUCAGAUAAUGAUCGAUUUAUUAGUGUGCAUGUAAACGCGCUCAGUGUUGGGGGACAAGGGGUCACAGAAAAUGAAUGGAUGAGAAGCGUUUGUCGCACAUUAAAAUCCAGUGAUCAUUUGUUUUUACAGUUUCUGUCGUGAGUAAUGGUGUCACUGUGGUGAUUUAAAAAAAACACCCUUCAGUGUUUUCUUUAAAAAUCUGUGGUAAAUAUAAAUAAAUAAAUAAAUGCAUAAAUAAAUGAAUGAAUAAUACAACCAUUUAAAUUUAAAUUCCCUUUCCUGUGCUGAAAAAAAUAUUUGACAUGGCCUCCCCUU